CUCGCGGCCUAUCAGCUUGUUGGUGAGGUAAUGGCUCACCAAGGCGUCGACGGGUAGCCGGCCUGAGAGGGUGACCGGCCACACUGGGACUGAGACACGGCCCAGACUCCUACGGGAGGCAGCAGUGGGGAAUAUUGCACAAUGGGCGGAAGCCUGAUGCAGCAACGCCGCGUGAGGGAUGACGGCCUUCGGGUUGUAAACCUCUUUUAGCAGGGAAGAAGCGUGAGUGACGGUACCUGCAGAAAAAGCACCGGCUAACUACGUGCCAGCAGCCGCGGUAAUACGUAGGGUGCAAGCGUUAUCCGGAAUUAUUGGGCGUAAAGAGCUCGUAGGCGGUUUGUCGCGUCUGCUGUGAAAUCCCGAGGCUCAACCUCGGGCCUGCAGUGGGUACGGGCAGACUAGAGUGCGGUAGGGGAGAUUGGAAUUCCUGGUGUAGCGGUGGAAUGCGCAGAUAUCAGGAGGAACACCGAUGGCGAAGGCAGAUCUCUGGGCCGUAACUGACGCUGAGGAGCGAAAGGGUGGGGAGCAAACAGGCUUAGAUACCCUGGUAGUCCACCCCGUAAACGUUGGGAACUAGUUGUGGGGUCCUUUCCACGGAUUCCGUGACGCAGCUAACGCA
rnacentral:rRNA from 1 species